UCGAGACUGGACCAACUGGAAAGGCUGCCUCGGGGAAGCACAGUUGCUAGGGCCAGCAGGCCUGGGUGACAGCAUGGCUCCCCUCUUAGCCACCUCUGUACCCACCUUCCCUGGACCCCCAUUCCAUCAUCCAUGAAGUGGGGUUCCGGCAUCCACCCCAGCACAGUCAUGAGGACCCUGACACGGUGGUAUGCCUGCUGCAUAGGUGCUGGUGAACAUUUAUUGGUUUUGGAAAAAAGUUAAAAAGUAAUGAAACAAAACACACGAACACGUUUCCUAAGGGGAGCAGUCAGCACAGUGGGUGGUCACCAUAUGUUUGCUGUAAGAGGAACUCAGUGUCCACAGCAAGUGCGGUCAGUGCUGCAUUCUGGAUCCUUCCCUGUGCCAGGCCCUGAGCUAAGGGCUGUGAAAUGGCUGUGUCCCUGGCCUCAUGGAGCUUCCACCCUCGAGGCAAAGAUGGAUUUCAAAGAAAUCACUCAAAUGAUUACAUCUGGAAUGUACCUAACCCCCCUGGGCAAGAGGCUCCUGCUGGCAUCUUAGAUCCCAUCUCCCGGCCCCUUCCUGUGACCUGCUUCUCCCGCCACAUCUCCUUUCUCUUCUUUGAAUUGGCCAAGGAGGGUGUGACCACCUGCAUUGAAUGCCACUGAGAGAUGCAAUAAGAUGGGGGCUGAGAACUGACCACUGGGAUUUAGAAAAUAUAUUUGAUU
rnacentral:lncRNA from 10 species